AUUUCAUAAUGUCCACUCAUUCACCGAUCACGAAAAAAACGUUUGUGCUAUAAUAAUAUAAAAUAUAAAUGGUUACAUAUUCAUUUCAAUCGAUAUGUCUCUCGCUGUUUAUUAUAUUUACUGCUUUAUCCGCCGUCAAGAUGACGUUUUGUGGCAUACAACGCGCAUGCACAGCGGGGUGUCGUCUGCUAUGUUAUUUGUGUUGUCCCAAUUUUGAUUAUUUUUUAGG
rnacentral:misc_RNA from 1 species